rnacentral:rRNA from 1 species
CUAAAUACUCUCUAGUGACCGAUAGUGAACCAGUACCGUGAGGGAAAGGUGAAAAGCACCCCGGGAGGGGAGUGAAAUAGAACCUGAAACCGUGUGCCUACAACAAGUUCGAGCCCGUUAAUGGGUGAGAGCGUGCCUUUUGUAGAAUGAACCGGCGAGUUACGAUAUGAUGCGAGGUUAAGUUGAAGAGACGGAGCCGCAGGGAAACCGAGUCUUAAUAGGGCGCCAUAGUAUCAUGUCGUAGACCCGAAACCAUGUGACCUACCCAUGAGCAGGUUGAAGGUGAGGUAAAACUCACUGGAGGACCGAACCAGGGCACGUUGAAAAGUGCUUGGAUGACUUGUGGGUAGCGGAGAAAUUCCAAACGAACUUGGAGAUAGCUGGUUCUCUCCGAAAUAGCUUUAGGGCUAGCGUCGAUGUUAAGUCUCUUGGAGGUAGAGCACUGUUUGGGUGAGGGGUCCAUCCCGGAUUACCAAUCUCAGAUAAACUCCGAAUGCCAAUGAGAUAUAAUCGGCAGUCAGACUGCGAGUGCUAAGAUCCGUAGUCGAAAGGGAAACAGCCCAGACCACCAGCUAAGGUCCCAAAAUAUAUGUUAAGUGGAAAAGGAUGUGGGGUUGCACAGACAACUAGGAUGUUAGCUUAGAAGCAGCUAUUCAUUCAAAGAGUGCGUAAUAGCUCACUAGUCGAGUGACCCUGCGCCGAAAAUGUACCGGGGCUAAAACAUAUUACCGAAGCUGUGGAUACCUUUAUAGGUAUGGUAGGAGAGCGUUCUAUGUGCGAAGAAGGUGUACCGUGAGGAGUGCUGGAGCGCAUAGAAGUGAGAAUGCCGGUAUGAGUAGCGAAAGACAGGUGAGAAUCCUGUCCACCGUAAGACUAAGGUUUCCAGGGGAAGGCUCGUCCGCCCUGGGUUAGUCGGGACCUAAGGAGAGACCGAAAGGUGUAUCCGAUGGCCAACAGGUUGAUAUUCCUGUACUAGAGUAUAUAGUGAUGGAGGGACGCAGUAGGCUAACUAAACCAGACGAAUGGAAGAGUCUGGCCAAGCAGUGAGGUGUGAUAUGAGUCAAAUGCUUAUAUCUCUAACAUUGAGCUGUGAUGGGGAGCGAAGUUUAGUAGCGAAGUUAGUGAUGUCACACUGCCAAGAAAAGCUUCUAGCGUUAAUUAUACUCUACCCGUACCGCAAACCGACACAGGUAGUCGAGGCGAGUAGCCUCAGGUGAGCGAGAGAACUCUCGUUAAGGAACUCGGCAAAAUGACCCCGUAACUUCGGGAGAAGGGGUGCUGACUUUAAGUCAGCCGCAGUGAAUAGGCCCAAGCAACUGUUUAUCAAAAACACAGCUCUCUGCUAAAUCGUAAGAUGAUGUAUAGGGGGUGACGCCUGCCCGGUGCUGGAAGGUUAAGAGGAGUGCUUAGCGUAAGCGAAGGUAUGAAUUGAAGCCCCAGUAAACGGCGGCCGUAACUAUAACGGUCCUAAGGUAGCGAAAUUCCUUGUCGGGUAAGUUCCGACCCGCACGAAAGGCGUAAUGAUUUGGGCACUGUCUCAACGAGAGACUCGGUGAAAUUUUAGUACCUGUGAAGAUGCAGGUUACCCGCGACAGGACGGAAAGACCCCAUGGAGCUUUACUGCAGUUUGAUAUUGAGUAUCUGUACCACAUGUACAGGAUAGGUAGGAGCCUAGGACCUCGGGACGCCAGUUUCGAGUGAGGCGUUGUUGGGAUACUACCCUUGUGUUAUGGCUACUCUAACCCAGAUAGGUUAUCCCUAUCGGAGACAGUGUCUGACGGGCAGUUUGACUGGGGCGGUCGCCUCCUAAAAGGUAACGGAGGCGCCCAAAGGUUCCCUCAGAAUGGUUGGAAAUCAUUCGCAGAGUG